CACAUCAUGGAAGUUGCUUGUAGCCGAAGUCGGCGCGCCAACCCGCAAGGGAAGCAGCCGCCUACGCUAUGAGCAGUAACUGGGAUG
rnacentral:rRNA from 1 species